rnacentral:rRNA from 1 species
UACGGAGGGUGCAAGCGUUAUCCGGAUUCACUGGGUUUAAAGGGUGCGUAGGUGGGUCUGUAAGUCAGUGGUGAAAUCUCCGAGCUUAACUUGGAAACUGCCAUUGAUACUAUAGGUCUUGAAUACUGUGGAGGUCAGCGGAAUAUGUCAUGUAGCGGUGAAAUGCUUAGAUAUGACAUAGAACACCAAUUGCGAAGGCAGCUGGCUACACAAAUAUUGACACUGAGGCACGAAAGCGUGGGGAUCAAACAGG